GAUGAACGCUAGCGGCAGGCCUAAUACAUGCAAGUCGAACGGUGUCUUCGGACAUAGUGGCGCACGGGUGCGUAACACGUAUGCAACCUACCUUACAUUGGGGGAUAGCCUUUCGAAAGGGAGGUUAAUACCGCAUAAGACAGUAGCUGGGCAUCCAGCAGCUGUUAAAGAUUUAUCGAUGUAAGCUGGGCAUGCGUCCAAUUAGCUAGUUGGUGAGGUAACGGCUCACCAAGGCAAUGAUUGGUAGGGGAACUGAGAGGUCAAUCCCCAACACUGGCACUGAGAUACGGGCCAGACUCCUACGGGAGGCAGCAGUAGGGAAUAUUGGGCAAUGGACGCAAGUCUGACCCAGCCAUGCCGCGUGCAGGAUGAAGGCGUUAUGCGUUGUAAACUGCUUUUAUACAGGAAGAAACGACUCUUGCGAGAGGCAUUGACGGUACUGUAUGAAUAAGCACCGGCUAACUCCGUGCCAGCAGCCGCCGUAAUAC
rnacentral:rRNA from 1 species